rnacentral:rRNA from 1 species
GCCAGUAGUCAUAUGCUUGUCUCAAAGAUUAAGCCAUGCAUGUCUAAGUACGAGCCUCCAACAAGGUGAAACCGCGAAUGGCUCAUUAAAUCAGUUAUGGUUCCUUAGAUCGUAUCCAACCCUACUUGGAUAACUGUAGUAAUUCUAGAGCUAAUACAUGCCUCGAAGCUCCGACCCUCCCCCGAGGGGAAGAGCGCUUUUAUUAGACCAAAACCGACGUCGGUCCCGUCAAAAGGACCGUCUCGCCCUUGGUGACUCUGGAUAACUUUGUGCCGAUCGCACGGCCUCCGCGCCGGCGACGUAUCUUUCAAAUGUCUGCCCUAUCAAGUUUCGACGGUUGGCGACCUGCCCACCGUGCUCGUAACGGGUAGCGGGGAAUCAGGGUUCGAUUCCGGAGAGGGAGCACGAGAAACGGCUACCACUUCCAAGGAAGGCAGCAGGCGCGCAAAUUACCCACUCCUAGCUCGGGGAGGUAGUGACGAAAAAUAACGAUGCGGGACUCUAACGAGGCCCCGUAAUCGGAAUGAGUACACUUUAAAUCCUUUAACGAGGAUCUAUUGGAGGGCAAGUCUGGUGCCAGCAGCCGCGGUAAUUCCAGCUCCAAUAGCGUAUAUUAAAGUUGUUGCAGUUAAAAAGCUCGUAGUUGGAUCUCGGUUGCGGGUCGGCGGUCCCCCUCGCGGGGGUUUCUACUGCCGGUUCUCCCGCAUCCCUCUCAGCCGGCGUCUUUGGCCCCUGUGCUCUUCGCCGAGUGGCAGGGGACGGCCGGAUCGUUUACUUUGAAAAAAUUAGAGUGUUCAAAGCAGGCUCGCUACGCCUGAAUACUGGUGCAUGGAAUAAUGGAACAGGACCUCGGUUCUAUUUUGKUGGUUUUCGGAAGUCGAGGUAAUGAUUAAGAGGGACGGUCGGGGGCACUCGUAUUGCGCCGUUAGAGGUGAAAUUCUUGGAUCGGUGCAAGACGAACUGCGGCGAAGGCGUCUGCCAAGCACGUCUUCAUUAAUCAAGAGCGACAGUCAGAGGUUCGAAGACGAUCAGAUACCGUCGUAGUUCUGACCAUAAACGAUGCCAGCUGGGGAUUCGAGGGCGUUGAAUUCAAUGACGACUCCUCGAGCACCCUCCGGGAAACCAAAGCUUUUGGGUUCCGGGGGAAGUAUGGUUGCAAAGCUGAAACUUAAAGGAAUUGACGGAAGGGCACCACCAGGAGUGGAGCCUGCGGCUUAAUUUGACUCAACACGGGGAAACUCACCCGGCCCGGACACCGUAAGGAUUGACAGAUCGAGAGCUCUUUCUUGAUUCGGUGGGUGGUGGUGCAUGGCCGUUCUUAGUUGGUGGAGCGAUUUGUCUGGUUAAUUCCGAUAACGAACGAGACUCUAGCCUAUUAAAUAGUUGCCUCUUACUCGAGGUCUGGUACUCGUUACCUUUCCUCACGAGAGGGGCCCAACUUCUUAGAGGGACAAGUGGCGUUCAGCCACGCGAGAUUGAGCAAUAACAGGUCUGUGAUGCCCUUAGAUGUUCGGGGCCGCACGCGCGCUACACUGAAGGAAUCAACAGGUGUUCCGUCCCCGCCUGAAAAGGUCGGGUAAUCCUUUGAACCUCCUUCGUGCUAGGGAUUGGGGCUUGCAAUUGUUCCCCAUGAACGAGGAAUUCCCAGUAGGCGCGAGUCAUCAGCUUGCGUCGAUUACGUCCCUGCCCUUUGUACACACCGCCCGUCGCUACUACCGAUUGGAUGGUUUAGUGAGACCCUCGGAUCGGCCCCUGCUUCUGCCGGCAACGACGGGAGCUGCGGUUUUGCCGAGAAGACGGUCGAACUUGACUAUCUAGAGGAAGUAAA